ACUUUUUUUUUUUUUUCUUCUUUUCAUCGCCCCAAUUCAGAACCCAGGCGAAGACGAGUUUUGGUGCUGGUAUUUAUGCCCAAUCAAUCUGAAGAUGCAACUUGGAGAUGGAAACACCUCUUCUGCGAGACAAAACCUCCCCACCUUUGAAACUUGCGCUCGGCUUUAUUGCUUCUCACUAUGAAGAAUUGGAGUGAUUUCGAGGGAGUACCCACCACUUAGGAGCUCGUUUCUUCACCUUGGUUGUUCAAUUUGGUUGCCGCAUUUUAUCGAACAGGUUUCAGUCAAGGCUUCUAGAAGGAGUCGUUUCUCUUCUUAUUUGCUUCAUGGACAAUGGUCAUGACUCAUGAACAUGGCAUGGCACAUCUGAAAGAAGAGGUGCCUGCUUCGUCAGCAGCAGUAGCAACUUGCACCAGAAACAAUUGUGUCGUCUUCUUUUCCUCAUCACCAGUUUGUACUCAUUCGACAGAGCUUCUGUAUGUGGUGCGGGCGUGAGUGCAGGCAAGAGCUUUGGUGGAGCUUGUUUUCGUUGAAGCUCCAUUGACACUCUGUUUACUGCUGCAAGGCUUUAAAAAAAUUUCACCGGAUUGGUCAUACACCCGUUGAUACACAUGUAUCGUAAACGAGAUUGUGACCGCUCCGGGGACCUCCAUAGCUCCAUGGUGACACAGGUAACAGAGAUGCUACACAGAAAAAGAAAGUAUCACGGGUGGAUCAGAGAGGCCCCAAUCUUUGUGUUGUUUGCUUGUUGGCUCCUUGCUUCGAUCAAAAUUGCUGAAACGCUUCCUCUCUCCUCUGCAGCAAGCUUCGCCUCUUUCUUGAUGUAUUUCCUGUGUGUCUUCUCUCCAGCCUUUUCUGCUUCUACUCCGCUCUAGCUUUUUCUACUCCUCCUUCGAACAAAGUCUCUGAGCACUUCUCCUUUGCAGCAGGGCUUCACCUUUCUCUUGAUGUAUCCCUUGUCUGUCCUUUGUUGUAGAGAGUGUGCCUUUUUAUAGGCAACAAUGGAUCAGCUUGAGAUAGGAUAAUUAUCAAUUCAAAUUCAAAUUGCAGUUAUAAUCACAUUUGUCAAUUUGAAAUGAACAUAGCAGCAACCAACUUUCACGUUGAAGCUUUUGGUGGCUUUUGUGAAUUUCAAAGCUCACUUAUCUUGACUUGGUCUUCCAUUUGUAGGAGGUGAAGAGUACCCAACAGUCUUGUUUUGAAAUUUGAAUGUCCACGUGAAGCAUAAGAAAUCUUUUGCAUGUAUUUGAAUUUGCAUAUUAAAUCCCGUAGAGUUGAUCAUCAAGUUUGAAUUGCAUGGUCAGUAAGUGCCCCAUGCAAGAAGAAUUCUAUCCAAGCUUGGGAUCUUAUCUUUGUACCAACGCAGCAAUCUUUUUUUUUUUUUCCUUUCAACAU